rnacentral:rRNA from 1 species
GACGAACGCUGGCGGCGUGCCUAAUACAUGCAAGUAGAACGCACAGUUUAUACCGUAGCUUGCUACACCAUAAACUGUGAGUUGCGAACGGGUGAGUAACGCGUAGGUAACCUGCCUGGUAGCGGGGGAUAACUAUUGGUAACGAUAGCUAAUACCGCAUAAUAUUGAUUAUUGCAUGAUAAUUGAUUGAAAGAUGCUAUUGCAUCACUACCAGAUGGACCUGCGUUGUAUUAGCUAGUAGGUGAGGUAACGGCUCACCUAGGCGACGAUACAUAGCCGACCUGAGAGGGUGAUCGGCCACACUGGGACUGAGACACGGCCCAGACUCCUACGGGAGGCAGCAGUAGGGAAUCUUCGGCAAUGGACGAAAGUCUGACCGAGCAACGCCGCGUGAGUGAAGAAGGUUUUCGGAUCGUAAAGCUCUGUUGUAAGAGAAGAACGGGUGUGAGAGUGGAAAGUUCACACUGUGACGGUAUCUUACCAGAAAGGGACGGCUAACUACGUG